UACGGAGGGUCCAAGCGUUAUCCGGAAUCAUUGGGCUUAAAGGGUCCGUAGGCGGUUUUGUAAGUCAGUGGUGAAAGCCCAUCGCUCAACGGUGGAACGGCCAUUGAUACUGCAAGACUUGAAUUAUUGGGAAGUAACUAGAAUAUGUAGUGUAGCGGUGAAAUGCUUAGAGAUUACAUGGAAUACCAAUUGCGAAGGCAGGUUACUGCCAAUAUAUUGACGCUGAUGGACGAAAGCGUGGGGAGCGAACAGG
rnacentral:rRNA from 1 species